rnacentral:lncRNA from 1 species
CCUUGGGAGUGUUUAGGCAAGAGGCCUGCGGGCAAACAUAUACCCGUAGUAUUUACUGUAUGCACACUAGGUAAGUCCUGGGCAGACCACCCCCUGUAUUUUGGUUAGUGUGCCAGGUGGUGCUAAGAUUGGGUAGGAGAGGGGGCUCUUAACUUUUACUUUCUUUAAUUUGGUUCUGUUCAGACACUUUUCCGCACUUUACCGUGUGGAAGGAAAUAAAUUCCCUGUAAACGAUAACUUUUCUCAGCUUUGUUGUCCUUCGCCCUGCACCUACAAUCGCAUAUGUUUUUCCCUCCACGGGGAGUUGAGAUGUAGCAGGGUGUUACAUUCCCUCCACCAGGAGGCGUACGUAACAUUUUACUAAUAUAUUAGAUGAAGAAUGGCCCAUUAUGAACAGGAACUAGGGUGGGGGAAAAGCCAAUCUGUACUCACUCAAAUAGCUAAUGGAGGACACUGGCUUUCCCACGGUCGGCCCACUGGCUUUCCCACGGUCGGCCCACUGGCUUUCCCACGGUCGGCCCACUGGCUUUCCCACGGUCUGUUUUUCAAUGAUGCCUGGUAGACUACAUCGGUUUUAUAGUGGAGCUGUGCUUUAAUAUCCGCAGCUGAAAUAACUAAGAACACGUGUUACUCCACACAUUGCUAUUGCUGCACAACUGGUGAUAUUCUACCCAGUACUCUGUAUGGGUUCUCCUACCCUGUUCCUGUAUCUACCCAGUACUCUGUAUGCCAUGGUCUCUCUCCUACCCUGUUCCUGUAGCUACCCAGUACUCUGUAUGGGCUCUCCUACCCUGUUACUGUAGCUACCCAGUACUCUGUAUGCCGUGGGCUCUCCUACCCUGUUCCUGUAGCCACCCAGUACUCUGUAUGCCGUGGGCUCUCCUACCCUGUUCCUGUAGCUACCCAGUACUCUGUAUGCCGUGGUCUCUCCUACCCUGUUACUGUAGCUACCCAGUACUCUGUAUGUCAUGGUCUCUCCAACCCUGUUCCUGCAGCUACCCAGUAGUCUGUAUGCCAUGGGCUCUCCUACCCUGUUCCUGCAGUUACCCAGUACUCUGUAUGCCAUGGGCUCUCCUACCCUGUUCCUGUAGCUACCCAGUACUCUGUAUUUCACGGGCUCCCCUACCCUGUUCCUGUAUCUACCCAGUACUCUGUAUUUCAUGGGCUCUCCUACCCUGUUCCUGCAGCUACCCAGUACUCUCUAUGCCAUGGGCUCUCCUACCCUGUUCCUGCAGCCACCCAGAACUUCAUUUGGAGAAUGUUUUCGCAACAAAACAUAAUUCAUUAAACUGUUGACAGCCCCUCUGCACGCUCAAGAAAAUAAUAGAGAGAGAGAGAGGAGGAGAUGGAAACGCAUGCUGGUGAGAUAUUCUGUAUAGCUAAAGGUAAUGUGUCACCCAAUUCAUUCUGAAAAUAUAUACAAAAUCCCUAUUUCUAUACUAUUCACAAUCUAAUUCACUUUAGUUGUAGGUUACCUGUAAGCCUGUUUUCCCCCCUAACACUACACAGCUGAUUCAAAUGAUCAAAGCUUGAUGAUGAUAAUGAGUUGAUUAUUUAAAUCAGCUGUGUAGUGCUAGGGGUCAAAAACCCCCAAAAAUGUGCACCCCUUUGAGGUCUGGAGGACCGAGUUUGUGUAACACUGGCCUAGGGCCCGUAGGUUCUCUCCCAUACUCAUGGCUAUACAUUUGGGAGAACAGCAUGAGCUAGCCAGUCCACCCAGUAUGCAAUAAUACAAUCCACAAUCAAAGCCGAUUUACUCAAAUUUGUUUAAUUUUGGAGUAUAGGCUAGAACAUUUAUGUACCAAAUACAUCUUAAAUCAGUUGUUUAAUGUUUUUUUCUGCCAUGCUUAAUAUUUGGUAGGCUAUGUGUUUGUAUAACGGGCAGAACCAUAAUUUUAAUUCCGUUUUUUGGGGGGGGUUUGGGCUCAUAUGCGUAAGCGCUAAUAUGCAUUUUAAUCAUCACCUUAGAAAGCGCUGUCCAUUUCAUUGUAUUGGGCUUUGAAACAACAUCCACAACGACCAUGUUUCCCACUGUUUCAACCUGCUGGUGAACUUCUUUCUUCCAAUUGAUCAUCACAGUGAGGACCUGAGCCCUAGGACCAUGCCUCAGGACUACCUGACAUGAUGACUCCUUGCUGUCCCCAGUCCACCUGGCCGUGCUGCUGCUUCAGUCUCAACUGUUCUGCCUGCGGCUAUGGAACCCUGACCUGUUCACCGGACGUGCUACCUGUCCCAGACCUGCCGUUUUUAACUCUCUGGAGACAGCAGGAGCGGUAGAGAUACUCUCAAUGAUCGGCUAUGAAAAGCCAACUGACAUUUACUCCUGAGGUGCUGAGUUGUUGCACUCUCGACAACUGUGAUUAUUAUUAUUUCACCAUGCUGGUCAUUUAUGAACAUUUGAACAUCUUGGUCAUGUUCUGUUAUCUCCACCCGGCACAGCCAGAAGGGGACUGGCCACCCCUCAGAGCCUGGUUCCUCUCUAGGUUUCUUCCUAGGUUUUGGCCUUUCUAGGGAGUUUUUCCUAGCCACCGUGCUUCUACACCUGCAUUGCUUGCUGUUUGGGGUUUUAGGCUGGGUUUCUGUACAGCACUUUGAGAUAUCAGCUGAUGUAAGAAGGGCUAUAUAAAUACAUUUGAGUGAAGGAUGCUUUGUUGAGAAACUGCUCCAGAGUCCAAUGGCGGCGAGCUUUACAAAACUCCAGCUGACACUUGGCAUUGCACAUUGUGAUCUUAGGCUUGUGUGAGGCUGCUCCCUUUCCUGCACAGUCACCUAGGGCAAGGGAGAGGCUGUUUUAAUCCCCCCUUUAUCUCCCUCUCUCUCUCUCUCUCUCUCUCUCUCUCUCUAUUUUUGCAUCAGCUUCUGUAAAAACAUAUUUCAUUGGGGGAUCAAUGGAAAAUCUGAUUUUGUCCCAAUAUCAGUACAACCCUGAGAGUGUUUCCAUCACAGUAGAAAAGUGAGAGUGAGUGAGAGCCUUGCCCUAGGUAGAGGAAGGGGAGUUCCACUUCAUUGUUUCUUUUCUCCCUGAGUGUUUGUUUUUCCUUUCAACAGCCCCUUUAUGUCAGCUGAAGGAGGGAGAGAGAUUAGUUGAGAAACACUGUUUGACGCCUAGAAUUUACCUCUUGUACGAACCUGCUCACAGAAAGAUACUGUCAUCAUACUAAAAACACACACACACACACGCGCAUACACACACAGGCACCCCUGCACAUGCAAGUACACGCACACACACAAACAAAAUACACAAUGAGUAACGAUAACUUGGCAAUACACAAAUGGUACCAGUACCAAGUCAAUGGGUACAAGCCAGAUAUGUACAUAUACACUAUUUUUUAUAUAUGUGGACACCCCUUCAAGUCCCCCUUACGUCUAAAACCAAAGUUGAGCCACUGGGUACAGAGAUGAGGUAGUCAUUAAAAAAACAUUAAUAUUGUGCAGAGAAUAAGUCCAUGCAACUAAUUAUGUGACUUCUUUAACACAUUUGUACUCCUGAACUUGUUUAGUCUUGCUAUAACAAAGGGGUUGAAUACUUUUUGACUCAAGA